rnacentral:misc_RNA from 1 species
ACACCUCAACUCUCGUGGCUUGCCAUGAUGAGCUUGGACUUUGGGGGUUUUGCUGGCCUACGGCCGGCUCCUCUCAAAUGAAUUAGCUUGCCAGUGUUUGGUGGCAUCACAGGUGUGAUAAAUAUCUACGCUUGUGGUUUUCCACCAGGUAACCUUCAGUGGAUGGAGGUUCGCUGGGGCUCAUAAAUGUCUCUCCUCAGUGAGGACAGCUCUUUGAAC